UCAGAGUGUUAGCUUGCGGUGGAGACGGCACUGUGGGGUGGAUUUUAGACUGCAUAGAAAAGGCGAAUGUUGUGAAGCAUCCUCCGGUCGCCAUUCUGCCACUUGGAACCGGCAAUGAUCUAGCAAGAUGCCUGCGAUGGGGAGGAGGUUAUGAAGGUGAAAAUCUGAUGAAAAUCCUAAAAGACAUUGAAAACAGCACAGAAGUCAUGUUGGACAGGUGGAAGUUUGAAGUCAUUCCUAAUGACAAAGAUGAGAAGGGAGACCCAGUGCCUUACAGUAUCAUCAAUAAUUACUUUUCCAUUGGCGUGGAUGCCUCCAUUGCACACAGAUUCCACAUCAUGAGAGAAAAACACCCAGAGAAAUUCAA